CUUGAUCGAGCCGAGCCACAACGGAUCCUCUUCCGGACCCCGCUGUCCGUACGUGGCGAGCAACGCCCGUGCCUC
rnacentral:antisense_RNA from 1 species